GCGACUUAGACUGAUUGAGAGUCAUGUAUCCGCAGCUCCUCCGUCUUCCUCCCAAACCUUUUACCUUUUCUUUCUUUCUUCUCCAAAACUAGCAAUCUGAGAUUUCAACCUCUCUCUCUAAGAAGCAGCGGCAUGCUUUUCCAAACGCAAUCUGCAAUUUAAUCAAACAGCCACCGAAUUUUCUGGAAUCCGGUCAACGCAGCGAUGCUCCGGAUUUUGAUCGGUCAACGCCAGCUGCUUACCUGAGCUCCAAAAGACCCAACAGUGAUGACGUCUUCCACCUCUGUUUCUGUUUGGCUGAUUCUGCUGUUUGGCUUCUUUCACCUCCACAAGCUUGCAGCCAAUGUCGAGGGUAUGUCUCUGUGUGUUAUUGAAUUUGGGAGUGUUUGGUUGUGGGAACUGGAAUGAACUAAUGAAUGAAUGAAUGACUGGAAACAUUCCCGAAGAGCUUGGGGGUUUGUCAGACUUGGUGAGCUUGGAUCUUUACUUGGCAACCUUGCAAAACUGCGUUUCCUGUAUGAACCCCCAUCCUUUUGUUAGAUAAAAUCUAUCGUCAUUCUUUUUUAUUCGAUAUGCUAAUCUGCUGUUUUUAAUUGUUCCAUUGGAGUGACUUUCUUCCUUAAAGUCCUUGUGCCGGAUGCAUAUAAUUUAUAGUAUGAUCCCUGGUUUCAAGAUUCAGUCAUUGCAAGUCCUGUGAGUUUCAUACACUUUCAUCUCAGUAAGAGGGAGGAGAGAGUGAAAAGUUACUAAUUUCUCUGCCAUCAGAGAAUGCAAAUAACAUAUAGUUUUGCCAUGGAAUGCAGGGAUCUUUCAAAUAACAAUCUGACAGGGGAUAUUCCAGUUAAUGGAUCGUUUUCACUUUUUACUCCCAUCAGGUUUGUUGAAGCAACUGUACUCUUUUUCUUUAACUUUAGGGACAAAAAUAACAAUCUGACAGGGGAUACACUUUCAUCUCAGUAAGAGGGAGGAGAGGGUAAUAUAGCUUGAUCAAGUUGGUGUUGUAGUUGUUGUAUGGGAUGCAGGUUUCACUCAUCUACUGUCUUUGCAGCUGAGAAGGAUCCACAAGUUCAUUCACGACAGCUCAAAAACUUUUCUUUGCGCGAGCUACAAGUUGCAACAGAUACCUUUAGCGACAAAAAUAUUAUUGGUAGAGGUGGAUUUGGUAAGGUUUAUAGAGGACGCUUAGCUGAUGGAACUCUGGUUGCUGUAAAAAGACUUACAGAGGAGAGAACCCAAGACGGGGAACUACAGUUUCAAACAGAAGUUGAAAUGAUUAGAAUGGCUGUCCACCACCGCAAUCUGCUUUGUCUCCAUGGUUUUUGCAUGACACCAACAGAAAGGCUGCUUGUAUAUCCUUAUAUGGCUAAUGGAAGUGUGGCAUCUUGUUUAAGAGGUACUCAUCUAAAUUGUUUGCUGCGUUGAUGAAUCUUUUUGUUUUCACGACGUUAAAUUUUUUUUCGAUCACAUUGAUAUAAUGAAUUUAAAAACCUGACCAAUUUGGCUUGGAGUAUCAACACUAAUUUUUUUAAUGUUUUGUUUCCUUCAAUUUUAAUUUACCUUCUCGAUGCUGAUUUUAUUUCUGUUUAAUUUGAAAAGGAUGACAAGAAGACCCUUUUUUUGGGUAGGACGGGUGGUAUGAUAUGUGUUAGACCACAUUACCUGUUGCUUGUAAUUUGAAAUUCUCCUCUCAUAAGUAUGUGGAUAUAUUAUUGUAGGUCGUCCGGAAGGACAACCUGCACUUGAUUGGCCAAUAAGACAACGCAUUGCAUUGGGAUCUGCAAGAGGCCUUGCUUAUUUACAUGAUCACUGUGAUCCAAAAAUUAUUCACCGUGAUGUGAAAGCAGCAAACAUAUUGUUGGAUGAGGAAUUCGAAGCAGUUGUUGGAGACUUUGGGUUGGCUAAACUCAUGGACUACAAGGAUACAUAUGUUACCACACAUGUAUGUGGCACAUUUGGUCAUAUGGCACCGGAGCACUUUUCAACUGGAGUGUCUUCCGAGAAAACUGAUGUUUUUGGAUACGGAGUCAUGCUUCUUGAACUCAUCACUGGGCAGAGGGCUUUCAAUCCUCAUCUUGCGAGUGAUGAUGAUGUCAUGUUAGUUGAUUGGGUAUGCAUUUACGUCUUUCUGUUUGUGUAUGUAGCUAGUUCAUUGUUAUAUGCAAGAUUAUUUCCCAACAACAUUUGCAUUUCCUUAGUAAUUAGCUUUUAGAAAAUAAGUUUGGUUUAAUUAGCUUUUGUUAGUUAGAGUUAUGAUUAGCUGUGUAGAUUUGUUUAUCUUUAUUUAUAACAAUCUAAGGUUUAAACUGUCAGAGAUUAAUUAUUGCAUUUCCUUAGUAAUUGUUACUAUUGUUGUUGCUUCUUUUGCCAAUGUAUUGGCAUUUUGUGAUUUCUUGAAGAAUUUGGCAUAUGUUUUGUGUCGAUCGUAAUUUCCUCAUCAUCUCCUUAUUCUCGCUAUCGUGGCCUCUUGCUUUUUCCUAUUCUCUCUAUUGCAUCUUUGUCUUCUCUUUGCAUGAUAUCAAUAUUUGAAUGACGAAACAUUUUUGUAAGCAGUUCGAUUUUCUGUAGAAAACUGCGGUCCUUCAAAUUUUGAACAUUACAACACGUUUUUGUUCUCCUAGGUUCCCGCACCUUUUGUUUCAAAUUGUAGAACCACCCGACAUUUUCUGUUUUAUUUUUCCUAAAAAAAUUAGGUCAAACGACUACUGAAAGAACGGAGGUUGGAAAGACUUGUUGAUGCUGAUCUAAAUGGAAAUUAUAUUGACGAUCAAGUGGAGCAGCUGAUCCAAGUAGCUCUACUGUGCACACAAGGCUCCCCAGGGGAACGGCCCAAGAUGUCAGAGGUUGUCCGAAUGCUUGAAGGCGAAGGCGAAGGUUUGGCUGAAAGAUGGGAGGAGCGGCAAAACGAGGAGGUGAUCUGCCAAGAUUUCAACACUAUUCAUCAUCCAAGUACUUGGAUCAUAGACUCACCCUCUCCUAAUUUUGUGUUGUACUAUUUCUUUGAGUUUGAAGAAAUGGAUAAAAAGAAUGACAUGUGAUAGAGAGUUCAUCAUAUAACUUCUGACUUUAAGGAUUUUUCAUUUAGUUCUGGUUCAUGUUGCGCAAAUAAUAUUAGGUAACACUGCUACUGGGGCUAUUGCUGGAGGGGUUGCUGUUGGUGCUGCUUUAACGUUUGCUGCAACUGCAAAUACACUUGCUUAUUGGCGACGGAGAAAACCACAGGAUCAUUUCUUUGAUGUACCUGGUUAGUGAACUAUAGGAGUAAUAUAGCUUGAUAAAGGUGGUGUUUUAGUAUGGGAUGCAGGUUUCACUAAUCUACUGUCUUUGCAGCUGAGGAGGAUCCAGAAGUUCUUUUAGGACAGCUCAAAAGGUUUUCUUUGCGCAAACUACAAGUUGCAACGGAUAACUUUAGUAACAAAAAUAUUCUUGGUAGAGGUGGAUUUGGUAAGGUUUAUAAAGGACGCUUAGCUGAUGGAACUCUGGUUGCUGUAAAAAGACUUAAAGAGGCGAGAACCCAAGGUGGGGAGCUGCAGUUUCAAACAGAGGUUGAAAUGAUUAGCAUGGCUGUCCACCGCAAUCUGCUUCGUCUGCAUGGUUUUUGCAUGACACCAACAGAAAGGCUGCUUGUAUAUCCUUAUAUGGCUAAUGGAAGUGUGGCAUCAUGUAUAAGAGGUACUCUUCUAAAUUGUUUGCUGCGUUGAUGAAUCUUUUUGUUUACACAUGGGUAAAUUGCAUUUUACACCCUCAGGUUUGAGUGUAAUUGCAACCUCAUACAACAUUUUAAAACAUUUCAAUUUUAUUUAUUUACUUAUCAUUUUUAGCAAUUUCAUACAUCUGAUAGUCAAACCGUCAGUUUGACUGUUAAGGGAUGACAUGGCAAAUGUGAGGUCUACAUUUUGUUGACGGGGAUGCCAACUAUGAUUCACGUGGAAUAAAAACAAAUAAAAAGGAUUAAUAAAUAGAAAAUUAAUUUUUUUUUAAUUUAAAACUAAAAAAAUAGAAAAGAUUAAAAAAAAAAAAUGGUGUUGUUCAUCCCUAUCCUGCUCUCACCCCGUCCCCGCAUUCUUCAUUUCCCCCCGCCCACCAUCGCCACCUUCCCUUUCCUCAGCCACUGCAAUGAAUAGACCACAUUACCUGUUGCUUGUAAUUUGAAAUUCUCCUCUCAUAAGUAUGUGGAUAUAUUAUUGUAGAUCGUCCCGAAGGACAACCUGCACUUGAUUGGCCAAUAAGACAACGCAUUGCAUUGGAAUCUGCCAGAGGCCUUGCUUAUUUACAUGAUCACUGUGAUCCAAAAAUUAUUCACCGUGAUGUGAAAGCAGCAAACAUAUUGUUGGAUGAGGAAUUCAAAGCAGUUGUUGGAGACUUUGGGUUGGCUAAACUCAUGGACUACAGGGAUACACAUGUUACCACAGCUGUACGUGGCACAAUUGGUCAUAUAGCACCAGAGUACCUUUCAACUGGAAAAUGUUCCGAGAAAACUGAUGUUUUUGCAUACGGAGUCAUGCUUCUUGAACUCAUCACUGGGCAGAGGGCUUUUGAACUUGCUCGGCUUGCGACCAAUGAUGAUGUCAUGUUACUUGAUUGGGUAUGCUUAUACGUGUUUCUGUUUCUGUUUGUUGCUAAUUUUCUGUUUUCCUUAAUAUGUUUCAUAUUUUAUUAAAAAAAAAAGACAUAAUGUUGUUGAAAUUCAACGAUCUAUUGUGUCUCUUUGUCCAAAUCUUGGAAAUUAUGUUUCAAUACUCAUUUUUAAAGAAAUGUUAUAUAAUAUAGUGUGAAUUAGGUGUAUCUCUCGAUACCAAUGUUGCUAUUUAUUUAAGCCAAAAAUAAUGGGUCUCGACACCUAAUCACUUUAUUUCAAACCGCUAAUCUCAUAUGACAUUCUUAAUCAUUGUAUAUGGAACAUUUAAAAACCUAUUACUCAUCAUAGAGCUGCCAAGUUCCUCUCUAAUUAAUGUAAAAAUCACUUAGUCUUUUUUGGCCCGAAUAUUGAAAACAAUUAGAAUCAUGGAUCAAAGAAAAGAACUAAUACUUAACUUUUAGAAAAUAAUUUUAGUUUAAUUACCUUUUAUUAGUUAGACUUACGAUUAAACUGUGAAGAUUUAUUUAUCUUUAUUUAUAACAAUCUAAGAUUUAAAUUGUCAGAGAUUAAUUAUUACAUUUCCUUGGUAAUUGUUGUUAGUAUUGUUGUUGCUUCUUUUGCCAAUGUAUUGGCCUUGCGGUGAUUUCUUGAAGAUUUUGGCAUGUGUUUUGUAUCGAUCCUAAUUUCUUCAUUAUCUCUUUAUUCUCGCUAUCUUGGCCUCUUUCUUCUUUCUAUUCUCUGUUUGCAUCCUUGUCAUAUGUUUGCAUCAUAUCAAUAUUUGAAUGACGAUGCAUUUUUGUAAGCAGUUUGAUUUUAUGGAGAUACUGCAGCCCUUCAAAUUUUGAACAUUACAACACAUUUUCACUCUCCUAGGUGCCCUCACCUUUUGUUUCAAAUUGUAGAACUAUCUGAUUUUUUUCCUUUUUAUUUUAACUAAAAUAAUUAGGUCAAAGGACUACUGAAGGAUCAGAGGUUGGAAACAAUUGUUGAUGCUGAUCUACAUGGAAAUUAUGUUGACGAUCAAGUGGAGCAGCUCAUCCAAGUAGCUCUGCUGUGCACACAAGGCACCCCAGGGGAACGACCCAAGAUGUCAGAGGUUGGCCGGAUGCUGAAAGGUGAUGGUUUGGCUGAAAGAUGGGAGGAGUGGCAAAAAAAGGAGGUGUUCCGCCAAUAUUUCAACCCUAUUCAUCAUCCAAGUACUAAUCGGAUCAUAGACUCAACUUCUCAUGGUCCUCUAGAUGAGUUGUCCGGUCCUAGAUGAUAUGCUCGUUGGUUCCGUCCCCUUGUAUACAUGUAAGAAGCCUCAGAGGACUAGAGAAGGUCCAUUUUGUAUUUCAGUGAUACCACAUUUGUGCGAAUGUUUUGUCUUUGUUUUCGAUUUUGUUUUUGUGUCGCUUAUUUUUAAGAUCACAAAAAUGGAGCUGGUGCUGUUGUAAUUUUUAUAGGGUUAACUGGCAUUACGAAGUUAUAUUGUGCUAGCAGGAAUCAGGAAGGUCCAUAAAAGCACCCAUUCCUAAUGAUUUAUGUAUCUUUCCAACAAUUAGUCCAGAUUGUCGAGUAAAUAAUCUUUCUGAACUUAUAACUAUCUAUAUUUUUUAGUGUUCUUAUAGAUCCUAUAGAUACAUCCUAUAGAUACGAUAAGGGCAUUAGGUCAAGUGCAUGGGUGCUUGUGGACGGAUAGUGUUUGAAAUUUCAUUGUGAUCAUUGCAAGUGCAACUUUGUGGCGCUACCCUUAUAAGCACUUGAACUAAGGCAUUAGGGGAUCUAGAGAUCACUUUGUGUCACUCCAACAUGGGAAUUCGAGUUGUCUAUCCUCUUUAGAGAAUCGCCAAUGGAGACCCAAACCUAAAUAUUUGGGUUUAAACAAAAUAAAAAUGGAAUCUAACGGUGGGACUUUUUUUGUUUUUUUGAACAAAAAAUAUUAUCUACAUUAAAGGGGUAGGGGAUUAUGUUAAUCCUUAUAGUGAACAAAAAAUUACUAUUUAAUAUUUUAUAUAUUUAUUCAAAAUUUUAUAUUAUUAUAUCACUAUUUUAAUAUUUUCUUUGUGAUAUAUUUUUAUUUUUUUAUUAAUAUUUUCGGCCUGUGGGGUCCACAAUCACCCAGGCUCUUCUCUCAUUUUCUGCCAUGUGUUUUGUCUCCUCCCUCACUCCACCUCUCCCUCUCUCCCAUAAGACUCAUUUCCUCUCUCCUUCGGUGAAACCCAAUGACGCCGAAACCACCACCACCUUGCCGAUGCGACUCCAGCGGGUUACUCCACUUGAUGACCCAGGCUAGCACCACCUUCGUCAUUUUCUCCCCCUAUGUCGAACCAGCACCACUCACUUUCUUCCCCGAGGCCAUUGUUCACAUUUUUCUUUUUCGACAACAUUCAUGGCGAGUUCUCGUCGUUCAUGACAAAGGUAAGGUUCGAAAACCCUCAACAUCUUCGUAGAUUGUGUUUAUGAGUAUGACGAGGAUGUUCUUAAGAUGUUUUAGUGCUGGUUUGACGUAGAAAUACCCCAAGAGUAACAAACCCAGUGUUCCGGCAGAGAUCUGGCGGCUUUCGAGCCAUUUUUUGGCCAACUCCGGCCAAGACCAAGGAAACCAAAGGUAUAUUCCAAUUCCUUGAUCCGAAUCUGAACUCGGGAUCCGGCCCGAUCUGUUCUAAAUUGUAUAUGAAAUAUUCCAGAAUAUUCCCUGUGUUGACUUUUAAGAAAUUUUCUCAGAAACCCUCAUAGGCUAAUUUUGACGUCCCAAGUCCAUUUUUGACAUCUAUUUAGGAAAAUCAUGAAGUUUUAACAUAGUUGACCACCAAGGCGUCUCGUUGACAUUUUAGGGUUGACCGUUCACAUUUCGUUGACUUUUUACAAAAUUUGCAUUUAACCCCUCUUAGCGUAUUUCGACACUCUGAUUCUAAAUUCGCACUCCGUUUUCUCAAAUUUGAUCGUUUAAGUUGAGUUUUACUAAUGAGUCCUAAUAUUAUACUUUGGUGCGAUUACUAUCGGAGACUCCGACUUUCUUAGCUUGAAAGGAUGUGACAUCGCAGGUACUUGUGAGUGGGUCUUUUCUUUUAUAUAGUGUGUAUAUAUAUAUAUAUAUAUAUAUAUAUAUUUGUUAGUUUCCAUUUAUAUAUUUGGUAAAGAAUUUUCUAAGUUACACCUAUAUUAGGGUAACGUAUAUAAAAAUUAACGUAUUGACAGAAUUCAUGUAAUUAUACUACGUUCUAUGGGAUACACAGGUAUGCGUAUUAGUAUGGAUGCUUUAAUGGUAUUUACGGUUAUGAAUAAUAUUCCAUUGACUAGGGUUAUUGAAUUAUCGCAUUAUCAAUUUACCAUUGCAUGAUCAUAUUUGUGUUAUUUACUCAUCGUGUGCUGCACUGGUGUUAGUACUUGCCCAGGCCAGGGCCAAUCUUUCACGUGUAUGUUCACAUCGCACUGUACGCUUAGUUUGGAUCCAUUGUAGGUGUAAUCCUAUCCUAGAUUGCGAUAGGCAAUUAGGACUCAUAUGUGAGGCACUUAGCGCUAGCCUUCACGUGAUUGUAGUACUAGAGCGUAAAUCAUUGCUUACACCCAGUCAUGUUCAUGUCAGAAUACCUCUGCAUGAACUCGUGUAUCAGCAUAUGUCAAUGAGCACUCGAUGUGAUAUGUUUAUUUCUGCGAGAUAUUGUGAUUACUAUAAGUUAUGUACCUAUUUAUGAAUUUUGUGACGUAUUGAAUUCUUAAGAUUUUGCAGGCUACAGUAAGUAUUUUCAUACUAUACGUAGUAUGUAAAUUUUGGAAACUAUACUUGUUUUACGAUAAGGGGUUAUAAUGUUUUCAAAAAGCUUUUUAUAAAACUUUAUUUUAGGCCCACUCACCCUUGUUUUUCUCCCCUCUAAGAUUUAGUGGCAAUGUUCGUGUCGACAAGGAUUUCUAGCAAACGCUGAUAUCAGAGACUACUUCUGAUGGUAUAAUUCUCAAUCUACUCUAUUGUACUUUACUUAUACUCUGACAUCACAUGUGAACUAGGUUGAUUCCCGCUCACUAACGCACUCUUAUACUUAGGCACUUUUAGAUUUAAAUUUAUUUCCAUUUUCCAAAUCACUAUAUUUUAUGGCUUCGUCACUCUCCUGGUGUCGACCAGCACACCUCGAUUCGGAGCCUAAGUAGGCAUUCCGGGUCAGGGUGUGUCAGUUUGGUAUCAGAGCAUAAGUUUGGUCAGCAUUGCGUUCAUCACACGCGUGCUGUAAGCAUUCUUGGUUCUUGAACCUAAUUGUCGAAUCUUGUCACCUCGUCGAAUACAAAAAAUGUGUUAGCUUUUCUUGAGUUAUGGGUUACUUAGACGACUUAUUGACAUGUUAGAAGAAUACUUUGGCGACCACCUCUAAACUUUAAGCGAAGGAUUUUCCUGCCAAGGAAAUAUGUAGAUUUGAGACAAGUUGAUGGCCCUGAAGCAGGGCUACUAUAUCGAUAGUUGUGCAUCACGAGAGAUUUACCAACCAAAUCCACUACCAUCUGGUCAUUUCUACCAACCCUUUUAAGUUAGAAAACCAUAAACAGUUUUGAUUCCUUGGCAUUACCCGUUAGUAUACCACAUAUCAGAAUUCCUGUGAAGUUUUAGUUUUUGUCAAAAUUUCCAAAAAUGUCCCGAAUGACAAUGUGGUGCUAAAAGGGUAGCAUUCGACAGAAGAACAUCUAGGGGAUAAUCACUUUUGUUCCCUGAUAACACUAAUCUUCUUAAGCGCACUGGUUAUCAUUUCGGAUCCUCAGGAGGAAGAUCGAUUUCCAUUUAGGUUAUUAACAAAUUUCUUUUCCGGUGUGGACCCCACCAUUGACAUUUGGUCAACAGGUCUUGAACCAUUUGAAUUACUAAAAUUAGUAUUACUAGAGACUCAGUGAAGCUUUGCUGACUUGUCUCGGUGAGUGACUUUAAUAUAUGUGAUAUGGUGAUUACCCGAUUCUUUAUAUUACUAUCCUUUGUGGAUAUGACAUGGUUUUAUAAAUGUGUUUUCUGUUAAAAUGUGAUUCUUUUAUAAUUGGCCAUCGAUCUAUUUUUAUUAAAUGUGAUUUGAUUCAUGGAUUGGUAAUAUUUGUGAAAAAGUGAUUCGAAUUGCAUAUUGAAAUGUUUUGUAAAUUGAGGGCUAGUAGAGGACUAUGACCCUGCUUGGUUAAUCCGCAUUGGGGGGUCAUUAGUGGUCCUGCUUGGUUAAUCCGCAUUGAGGGACCAUACUAUAUAUGGAUCGUGCUUGGUUAAUCUGCGUUGGGCGAUCCUUAUGGCCAUUUAUACUUAGGGGUGAUCAUGCUUGAUUAAUCCGCUUGGUUAAUUCGCAUUGGGGGGGGGGUGAUGAGUUCAUAUUAUACUAUAUAUUUCACCCUAUUCUUAGUAUUAAUUUAUUGAUUAUUUUGGUAGAAUUUUGAUACUUUGUUUUAUAUUUUCAACAUAGGAUAUUCAAUUUCCUCUGGAACAAAACUUGACCAAAUGGACGAAAUUUCGAGUGAUUCAAAUUGGAGGACGUUCGUGUGUUGUUUGUGUCAAAAUAUCAGAAAUUUCUACCAAGCGGUUAUUUUCUGGAGAUUAAAUGAAGGAGCAGUGCGCAUUGCUGGAAAGUGACAUUUCUGGGCUUAAACUACAUUUUUGGAGCCCGAGAUGACUUCGGCUGGAGAAGUGUUCAGAAUAGUCCAAACUUUAGAUCCAGCUAUUUUGGGCCAGUUUAGGAUUAUAUUUCCUAUUUUAUUUCUAUUUAUUACGUUUCCUGGUUUUAUUCUAAGACCUUUUAGGGUUUUAUUUUGUAUUAGUAUAAAUAAGGCUUUUUAGCCAUUAGGUUAAGAAAUAGGGGAGAGAACGCACACAUUUUGGCUUUAGAGAGCUUUUGACGAAUCAAGUGUAUUUUCAAGGUGUUUUCUAUCCAUGUUUUUAAUAAUAUUUUAUUUUAUGAUUGUUUGUAAUUAGUUUUGUUUGCUAGGGUGAGGCCACGAGCCUUAGCAAAAAUAUGUAUUUUUUUUUUCAAUUUGCUUAUAAUAUUAUGCAUGCAAGUUUUGAAUUAUUAACCACUGUGCUUUAAACUAUCUAGUUGUCUUGAUGAUUGGCCACCAUUAGGAUAUUUAGAAAAGUAAUUUGAUGCAAUUUUGGUGGAGGGCUGUCCCUGGAAUUGGCGUUGGCUUCUUGUGGUUAAUAUGUGUAACCUCUUAGGAUGGACGACAUGUUUUAAGGGUUAUAUGGUUUUUCAAAAGGUUUUCACAAAACUUAAUGAGUCUUGCAUGUUCACAUUCGAUCUGGACGCCACAGACGGGUUUCAAGUAGGGCAUACUUUAGGAAAACCUAACCUUCAAAAUAUGCAUGGGUAAUUCAUAAGUAAUUGAAAGAACUACGUAGAAUUGUUAAGGUGACAACGGAACCCUAGUGCUCAAAUUUAUUUUCAAAACUAUUUUCUUUUGUUUUUUUUUAUUACUUUGCCAAUUUAUUUAAUUUUUUUUAAUAAAAUUCAUUUUUAAUAUUUUAGGUCAUAAAAUCAACCUCUUCUAAAUUUUGUUUUCAAAUCAUUAAUUAAGAUUUGGUUUUAACAUAAAUUAUUCAUUCAAUCCCUGUGGAGAUCGACCUUACUUGAGCUGCUAUACUAUGACAACCUUGUACUCUUGCAAGUAUUUUUAAAUGUUUUUAUCUCUAAUUUUGCAGGUGGUAAAAAUCCCUACCAGAGGGUCACUAGUGGUCUUGCUUGGUUAAUCCACAUUAGGGGACCAUACUAUAUGUAAAUCGUGCUUGGUUAAUCCACGUUAGGCGAUCCUUAUGGCCAUGUAUGCUUAGGAGUGAUCAUGCUUGGUUAAUCCGCAUUGGAUGAUCACUUCCUAACAGCUGUAGGAGUGACUCUGCUUGGUUAAUCCGCUUUGGGGGGGUCACUGCCUACUUGGUUACUUUCUCAUGGGUGGCUUUGCUUGGUUAAUCUGUUUUGGGAGGCCACUUCGUGUUUGGUUACUUAUGUAGGCUUCUGCCGAACUGCGUCCCUCUAGCCCUAGUUUUUAAUGUACAUAUGAACGAUGGUUUUUGAGAAUCUUGGUGGUUUGAAUGGGAAAAGCCAUUGGAUGUUUGGGUGACUCAUUCGGAGUUGUUAGAGACUUGACUAUGUUUUCAUAUUUACAAACUUAUAUUUGAGGUUUAUAAACUGUGAUUGAUGGUCUUUCUUUUUAUUGAUUAUCACAUACUUGUAUUAUUGUCACUCACCCGAUUUUACAUAUGACAGGCCUGGGUAGAUUAUGAGAAACCGCUUGAUAUUUUGGUUUCAUUGAGUAAUCCGGAACCCGGUGUCGUUGGAUUCCGUUGAGUGAUUCGAAAUCCUUGUUCUCGCUCAUUCCCAUAAGGUUAGUCUAGAACCCUAGAUUUGAGUGAAUGAAAAUUACCCACAAUAGACCUUGUGAAUAUGAAAUAGAUUUACCAUGUUAUUACUGAUAAUCCAAGUAGAAAAUUAUAUAGAGUUCCUUGGUUAAAUUUGUGAAAUGAUAUGUUAUUGCAUUCAUUGAUUAGCAUAUUUAAAUGCUAAGAUCAUGUAUCUUUGAUUCAUGAAUUGAUUGAUUGACGGAAUUGUGGAAUGACUUGGUUAUGGUUGUUAUUAUUUUGAUUAUUUUAGUUGAUCAAUGUGGCUUGAGAAUAAUAUGUGCUUCGUUGGUUAUUUGAUAUGUUACAUGUUGUGGAUGGAAGUAUCGUGCUGAAAACAUAGAAUUUAUAUGAUGGAUGGAAUGAGAAUCUUGAACGGCAUGUUGGUUUGUUUUGUAGCCAUGAACUUGGUAAUGUCAUGCAUGUCAAGUUCUAAUAAUUGAUUACAGAAUGCUAUGUAUUCCUAUUAGAACGCACUGGAAUAAAUGUCUAAAUUAGUGAACGAUGAACUACGAACGGCUUGAUCCCUAAUGAGGGUACGUAGGCAAUCUAACGAGGAGGUUAGAUGCAGCCAUAAAGUAUACGAAAAAUUACUAUGCGAUUCAAUUCUCAAGUUGUGAUUUGCCAUAUCCCGGAGGCGGGGUAUGUUGAGAUACGGGUAUUUGGUGACGUCACAUGUCGAUCCUGAACAUAUGUUGGGAUCGGGGCGUGACAUUUUUGAUCACUUCCAUAGGUAGACAGUAGAAUCAAAGUACGAGUUAAUUUCUUGCUAUUAAAGUGAAUUGAGUAUCGAGAAAACUAUGAAGACCUUUUAGUUCAUGUCGUAGAGUUGGGAAGUAGUAUUGUACGUUUUGAUGACGUAUAUCCAAGUGUCUAUUUCAAAAAUUUACCUGAGAUAUCACCAAAUUGUGAAGUAAGAUACACUAUCAACCUAUUUUCUAAUACGACACCUAUUAUCCUUGCAUCUUAUCGAACGACUCCUUUGACUUGAGAAACUUAGUUACAAAAGCUUAUCGAUUAGGAAUUCACCCAACCAAACACUUUAUCUAGGGAACCCUAAACCUAUCCAAGAAGACAAUAGGUUGAACCUUAAAACUGUAUCUAGAUUUUAGCAACUCUAUCGAGUGACAUUUAACUCCGUUAUACCAUACUUUGAAUUUAUGGUCUAUCCAACCAACCUCUGAGCCCAAGUUUUCUUCCGUAGCUUGUCAAAUUCGUAGUGGUUUUACCGAUGACUUUCUCACCUACCGUAGCAACGGGAGCAAAUUUUCUAAACACUGACAGUCAGCUUUAUACCAAAUUCCUCAAAUAUUACCUUUGUUUUAGAUUUCUUGGGAGACGUGAUCUCAACAGAGACGUUCUUGUCAAUUUCCAAAAAGGUUGCACAUGAAGAAGAUUUCAUAUUCCACAAAUCGUUGUGAAUAAUGCGAUAUCCUUGGCCUUGUUGGUUAUAUCGACAUUUCGUUAGUAACUUUUCAGCAGUGGUGUUUUUCCUUGCAAGUUGACCGAGGAAAAUCAGUUUAACUGAGAUGUGGAAUAUGAUUACAGUUGUGACAACUGAGGUGUUGUCUAUUUCUUACCCUUGUUCGUACACCUUUCGAUAACAUUGAAUGAUUUGGCUGCAUACUGAUAGAAUAUGACGAAGUAUUGCUUAUGUUUCCCAACGGUUGAAACCAUAUAAAGUGAACUAACUUACUAUUGACCUAGAGUCAACAAUUACCAUCUUUCCUUGAAACUGGAUGACACUUCUCUAUGGAGAAUCUUGUCCAAAAUCUGUACCAACCUUAGACUUCUCAAAUACAUCUUCAUUUGUAAUGAGCUAAAUUUCUGACAGUAGUGAUGGACGAACUAAAUCAACGUUUACGAUUACACUAUCGUGUAUUACCCUGGUUGUGUAAACGUAAUUACUGUUCACCGUAGUAAAAGAUGUAUCUACCCUUGAACAUUUUCAACCUGUCCUAUUCCAACUCAUUUGGAAUUCAUGAGUAUUGUUAUGACGUGACUUACGAAUCCUCAAGAAAUCGUUCGAGUGGUUAUAAUCACUUACUGUAUUUGAAUAGAGAUGAGAAAUAUCACCAUAAGUUCCUAGUACGAGGUAUUUUGUACAUGUGGAUAUUAUGAUAAUGUUUCGAUGAUUAUCUAUCAACUUGACAAGUCAGCUCACCUUCUGUUGGUCGAGAAGAACUACAUUUUAGACCACUUAUCAAAAUUUCUCAUUCUUGAACUUAUUAGACUUUUUGACGUUUUGAUCAGCAUCUAAUCUAACUGUGAUUCCCUAUUCACCAUCUUGGGCUGGAAAGCAUUCCAAUCAACCUUAGGUACGUCUUACCCUACAACACUUUGUAUUAUUUCUUAAGCAAAUAGAUUGUUUAGAUGAACCGCUGACAUUGAAGUUUUAGUUAUGACCAUUAACUCCUCAAUCACCUAACAAAUACUUUACUGAACGAAUCUUUACCAUUAGUGAUUGAAUAUUCUGAAAGCUACCGUUGUAGUGAGAUAUUAUGCAUUCAAUCCAGCCAUCUUGUACUCUAGAUUCGAUGAACUUGUUUUGACCCUCAAAUUCUUGAGUGUUCAUUUAGCCUUUUCGGCGUAAUGUUUCACUAAACCCGAGUGGAAAUUCAUAAUGAAUCUACUUGCUGAGGCAUAUGUGAAUUACAGUGUUUGGUUGCAUAGUGUGCAUGACACUACUGUAUCUUAUUAUGAUGCGCAUUUCGCUUCCAAGUUUUGGGAAGCCUUCUUGAAGGCCAUGCGUAUUAAGUUUUGUCACAUACCACAUUUCACCCUCAGACUAACGGUCAGUCUGAAUGAACUAUUCAGACCUUAGAUAACAUAUUUCUUUUGUAUGUUUUAUAGUUUUAACUGGUUAUGUUAGACACCUAUCUUUGCUUAUGUUGCGUACGACGAUAGUUAUUAUUAUGGUUUGGCUAUAGUAUUGUUUAAGCUGUGAUAUAGAGAUUUUACGCACGGAACAUGUUUGACAGACGAGUAUUGCGAACAAGUAUUCGAAUGAUCAGGAUUAAGAUGUAGCAAACUAUGAGAUAUUGACGAUGUCGCCGAAGAGGGUCAUGCGUGAAUGCAAUCAAGGCGUUAAUCAGAUGAUUUAUGUGUAUUUCCCAAUGAGGGGCAAGAUGGUAAUAUUGCACCCUCAUGAAUUAUUUGCUUGGUUAUUGUGACAACACCGUAAUAUUGAUAACUUAUUUAUUGUUUGGACUUGACCCAAAGAUACUACACUUAUUCUCGGAUUACGUGACGCUACAAGUGCAUAGGUGACAUUUUUCUAUGUUCAGUUUUGAUUUCAGUACAACUAUCUUGAUUCUACGUUAUUGUGUAUAUGUAUUUUAAUUUGACGUUAUGUUUAUAUAUAUAUUACCUUAUGUUUUUAUAAAAUAUAAUAUUAUAGUAUUGUGCUGAAGGAGAAGGAAAGUAUGAGUUUGGAGCCAUAAAAUAGGAAUCAUUGCACACCUAUCGCGACAGAAUGACAUUCUCUUUUAUGCAACCGCUCUAGCUUGAAUUCUUCUUUAUAUAUUUUCCUUCUGUCUUGAGUAUUUUAUGUUUAGCAACUUAUUUCAAAUUUUGGGGACAAAAUUUUUUUUAAGGGGUGUAUAUUGUGACAACUCGUCCCUACUUUUAUGAUUUUAUUAAUUUUAAAAGCGUGAAUUGGCAAAAAUGCUCUAGCUUGAAUUCUUCUUUAUAUAUUUUCCUUAUGUCUUGAGUAUUUUAUUUUUAGCAACUUAUUUCAAAUUUUGGGGACAAAAUUUUUUUUUAAGGUGGGUAGAUUGUGACAACCCGUCCCUACUUUUAUGAUUUAAUUAAUUUUAAAAGCGUAAAUUGACGAAAAUGCCCAAGAGGCGAGAUUAUUGACUUUCGUUGAUCGUUGUUUGUGACACGUAUGAGUUAUUACUUUACCGUACCCUUGAAGUACUCGAUGGUAAAAACGCAUAGGCGCAAGCGGAAUCGAAUUUGGAGCAACGAUGAAAAUUUUAUUGAACAAUGAAUCCGAAAAAUACUUUUGUAAAAAUUACUAUUUUAUAUUUUAUAUAUUUAUUCAAAAUUUUAUAUUAUUAUAUCACUAUUUUAAUAUAUUUCUAUGGGAUAUUUUUUAUUAUUUUAUUAAUAUUUUCGGCCCAUGGGGCCCACACUCACCCAAGCUCUCAUCUCAUUUUCUGCCAUGUGUUUUGUCUCCUCCUUCUGUCCUGUAAGACUCCCCUUUUUCUCUCCCUUGGUGAAACCUAGUGACACUGGAACCACCACCACCACCACCACCUUGCCGUUGCGACUCCGGCGAGUUACUCCACUCGAUGACCCAGGUUGGCACCACCUUCGUCGUUUUCUCCCCCCUCCAUGUCGAACGAGCACCACUCAUUUUCUUCCCCAAGGCCACUGUUCACGUUUUUCUUUUCUGACGACAUUCAUAGCAAGUUCUCGCUGUUCAUGACGAAGGUAAGGUUCGAAAACCCUCAAUAUCUUUGAACACCCUCAAUAUCUUCGUAAAUCCCGUCCCUGAUUUUCACUAUUGCAAAUUACGUAUGUGUAUUAAGGAGUUAUUAUAUUAUUUUUGGAAUUUAUAUUAAUUGUAGAGUGUUGAGAUUGUGUAUUCAAAAGAUAUCAAUGUGAAAAAGCUACAAUUAAAAAGUUGCCCUUAAUUAAUUAAGGAGAGGAAAAAAAAGGGAACUUUAACGAAAAGCUCCCGGUACUGUUCAUUUUAACGAAAAACCACAUUUUUACACUAAAAAGUCAAUCCUGGUACUAUUCACUUUACCCUUUAUUUUGUCCUUAUCGUUAAAACUCAAAGUUUUCAAGCCCUUUUCAUUAGUUUUCCUAAAAAAAAAAGAAAAGGAAUUUGGGGAGAGAAAUGAAGGAGGCUUGGCCAACGGGAAGGCGGGAGAGAAAGAAGGCUGCCAAUGAGAAAAAAGGAAAGGAGGAGGAAAGAGGGGAGGGGAGGGACACCAGAUUCCCUGCCCAAUUGUCUUUUCCGACCUGAACGCGUCAUUGCUACCACUUCCGACGGGUUUUCCGUCCAUUUUUUGGCGAUCCACCAUUUUUGAAAUAAUGUUCUUCAAUUACCACCACAAAGACACUCAUCUAGAGGUCAGGAAAAAAGCCCAAGCAAGAUUGGGGGUGUUGGAGUUCGAAUUGAGGACGAAUCAAAUGACACCCAUUUCAAGGGUUCCGGCGGAUCGAGGCAAAAUUGAAGGGUUCCCCGGCAAAAUUGGACCUCGGCCCAGGUAUGAAAAUUUCUCCCCGCACUGAUAUCUACAUGCCUGUAAAGUUUGGUAAUUUUUGGAAAUAGUUGAAUUUUCGGCAAGUCGGGGCUGCCGACCGCCACCCGCGGCGGCGGCCUGCCCAGUGGGCCGACGAUGUCCUUUUAAGUUCAAAUAGAUGCCUUGAUUUCAUAAUUGAUAUCCGUAUGACGUAAUUUGAUUGUUUGGACUUAGUUUCAUUACGAUACCUCAUGUUGAUGCACAAAACCGGAGGUUUUGGGACAAUAUAAAUCCGAUCGUGAAUCUGCAAGUAAUGUAAGUAACACAAGAUGUAUCGUGGUUCACCCCAAUGUUUGGGCUACGUCCACACUGAUUAUUGAAUUUCUUUAAGAUGCUGAAGAGGGAGAAAGAGAGUUUCUCUGUGAGGAUGAGAGCUCUGAGAGGGUGAAGGUACGGCCUAAGAAAUGGCCUCCCUUCAUGAAGAGAGUGAGGGGUCCUUUUAUAGAAUAAGGGCUCCUCACUUAUUACAUAUUUGCCCUUUAUUUAUUACAUAAUUACAUUUGAGUCCCCCGAGUAUUUAUACGAGAUCUAAAAACGGAGGCCCUAAGUAUGGUAUAAACAGUAAUCCCCCAAGUCUUCAGUCAAGAUAGUCUUUUGGCUGGAGACUUGAAAUUCAGUCCAUGUGUGGACCAAAGUAACUAGACAUCGUCUAGGACUGAUACUCGAUAUGAGGCGGUGCUCAAUCUGAAAUGAUGCUCAACUAGAAGUAGCACAUGUUGCGAGGCUGCUUGGCUUGUGGCUUAUGUUGUCUUGGUUGGCUUGGCUUGUGGCAUUGAAGGUAAGGGAGUCCCUUUUAUAGAAUAAGGGCUCGCUCCUCAAUACAUGAAUGAUAGGCUAGAGUUGAUGCUCGCGGCGAGGGCAUUGCUCAGCUGGCGACGAUGCUCUCUAAUGAUGGUGAGGGAGUCUCUUUUAUAGAAUAAGGGCUCGCUCCUCAAUACAUAAGUGAUGAGUUAGGAGUGAUGUUCCCGGCGAGGCGAUUGCUCAGCUGGCGGCGAUGCUCUCUAAUAAAGGUGAGGGAGUCCCUUUUAUAAAAUAAGGGUUCGCUCCUCAGUACAUGAAUAAUGGGUGCUUUCUAAUGAAAGUGAGGGAGUCCCUUUUAUAGAAUAAGGGCUCGCUCAUCAGUACAUAAAUAAUGGGCUAAGUCCCCCAAGUAUUUUUCAUGAGGCCCAGUUGAGGCCCAAUAAAUGGUACAUAAUGUAGUCCCCCAAGUCUUCGGUCAAUAGAGUCUGUUGGUUGGACACUUCAAAUUGAAUCCAAGUAUGGGCUGAAGUGGCGGUUGUUCGGAGGCGGUAUUUGUAUACCCUGCACUGAAGCUUUGUAGGUGAAGCUUUGCAAGUGAAGCUUUGAAGCUAGAGCUCUGUAAAUGAAGCUUUUAAAGCUAGAGCUCUAUAAAUGAAGCUUUUGAAGCUAGAGCUUUGUAAAUGAAACUUCUGAAGCUAGCGCUUUUGUGAAUGAAGCUUUUGAAGCUAGAGCUCUGUAAAUGAAGCUUUUGAAGCUGAUUGACAUGAGUGAUGGUCAUGAAUGUUUAUGUUGAUUGACAUGAGUGAUGCUCAUGGAUGUUGAUGAAUGAUGGUCAUGAAUGUUUAUGUAUGAUUGACAUGAGUGAUGUUCAUGAAUGUUUAUGUAUGAUUGACAUGAGUGAUGCUUAUGUAUAAUUUUGGAGUACUGGAUGUACUUUUGAUCACCUGAUUGGUGAUAAUAGCGGCAGGCUGCCAAAUAAUUUUGGAGUACUGGGCGUACUUUAGAUCACCUGGUUGAUGAUAAUAGCGACAGGUUGCCGAAUAAUUUUGGGAGUACUGGGCGUACUUUAGAUCACCUGGUUGAUGAUAAUAGCGACAGGUUGCCGAAUAAUUUUGGGAGUACUGGGCGUACUUUUGAUCACUUGGUUGGUGAUAAUAGCGGCAGGUGCCGAAUAAAUUUGGAGCCAUAGGGCCUGGCUCUUUUGGGCAUAUGGGCAUUCGCCCUCCACAUGACAUUGCAGCCCACUAUUUUGGGCUUGCCCUUUUUUUUUAAAAUUUUUUUUAUUAUUACCCUCUGAUGGGGUUUAUAUAGAUGUCUCCGAAAGAUAAGAAAAAUAAAUUAUAUCAUUCAAAAAUAAAUCUCACCCUCUGCUCAAUGGGUUAUGCCCAUAAUUCCCUUUUCUGCAUGCCAUCACCACCGCAAUUAUGUCUGCUUCUUUUUAUCUUCUUUUGCUUUCUGCUUUUUACUUUCUGCUUUUCUUUUGCUUUCGGCCUGGUUGGUGCUAAGACCUUGUAGUGGGAUGGCAAACAGCUUGGCAUCAUUAUGUCUGAAUUCCUUUAUCAUCGUGGUGCCGAACCACUUUCCAGUUGUGUGUUUAAAGGAACCUGUUUUACCUUCACUGCUUUUUGACCAUACUUCCUCCAUCUAUACCCAAUUGAAGUAAUGAUUACUCCCCUGGAGCCGAUACUAGACCGGUUGAGUCAUUCUGGGAGGCAGCGGAAUGUUGACGUCUGCAACGUGCGGACCGAAGCCCAAAUGCGACGUCGUUUGGCCUGCCACCAGAAGAAGAAACAAACCGAGCAAAACAUUGAAACUCACCAGAGAGAUCGCCGGAGUCAGAGCUUAAGAGAGUAAACACCCAUGAUCCAUGUGAAGAGAGUGAGAGAGUGAGAGCAUGAGAGAGUAAACUCAUCCAAAUUAGAGUAAACUCACACAACUCCGGCCACAGAGUCGUACUCUUCCAUACCAACAUUUCCAUUUCCAACACUACCCUCCACGUUCUUCUUCACCCUCCCUGCAAUCACACGGCACACCAACAUUGCCCUCUUGUCACCCUCCUUCGUCGCCACCACCGCUUUAUCAUGAGCUCUGCUGCUUGUCGCAGUUGUCAAAAUACCCAGCUCCGUCAACUCCCCAGAGAACUUGUUGAAGCCGUUUUUUAUAAUGAUGCAAACAUUGCAGUGUGGGAUUAAGUUACUUGGAGAGCUUGGUGGCAAAGGUGGUGUAGUGGAAACGGAUGAGCUCGUUGCCGUCAGCGAUGCAGCGGGGGUGUUUCUUGGAGAGCUUGGUGGCUUUUACUUUGAUGGAGUCUCUAUACUCUUUGAAUUUGGUGAUGGUAUCUUGGGUGUUAUGGACUUUAAGGAUGCGGUCGAUUUUGUAGAUUGGGGUUCUUUUUUCAGCCAGCUGGACUGGAAUAUGAUCUCCACUAUGUUCUUGCUAGUAUCAUCAGGACUCCGAGCUUGUAUGGUGUCUCUACCGUCACAAGGAGAAGAUCAACCUCGCUGGUCACGAAGAGAAGAUCAGCCUCCGCUACUCAAGCUCCGACUCCAGCGAUCUCUCUUGUGAGUUUCACUGUUUUGCUCGGUUUGUUUCUUCUUCUGGUGGCGGGCCAAACGACGUCGCAUUUGGGCUUCGGUCCGUAAAUUGUAGACAUUAACAUUCUGCUGCCUCCCAGAAUGACUCAUCUGGUCUAGUAUCGGCUCCAGGGAGUAAUGAUUGCUUCAAAUGGGUAUAGAUAGAGGAAGUAUGGUAAAAAAGCAGUGAAGGUAAAACAGGUUGCUUUAAACACACAGCUGGAAAGUGGUCCGGCACCACGAUGAUAAAGGAAUUCAGACAUAAUGAUGCUAAGCUGUUUGCCAUCCCACUACAAGGUCCCAGCACCUACCAGACUGAAAGCAAAAGAAAAGCAGAAAGCAAAAGAACAUAAAAAGAAGCAGACAUAAUUGCGGUGGUGAUGGCAUGCAAAAAAGGGAAUUAUAGGCAUAACCCAUUGAGCAGAGGGUCGGAUUUAUUUUUGAAUGAUGUAAUUUAUUUUUCUUAUCUUUCGGAGACAUCUGUAUAAACCCCUUCAGAGAGUAAUAAUAAAAAAUUAAAAAAAAAACGGCAAGCCUAAAAUAGUGGGCUGCAAUGUCAUGUGGAGGGUGAAGACCCAUAUGCCCAAAAGAGCCAGGCCCUAUGGCUCCAAAUUUAUUCGGCACCCUGCCGCUAUUAUCACCAACCAAGUGAGCAAAAGUACGCCCAGUACUCCCAAAAUUAUUCGGCAACCUGCCGUUAUUAUCACUAACCAGGUGAUCAAAAGUACAUCCAAUACUCCAAAAUUAUUUGGCAGCUUACCGUUAUUAUCACUAACCAGGUGAUCAAAAGUACGUCCAGUACUCCAACAUUAUACAUGAGCAUCACUCAUGUCAAUCAUACAUAAACAUUCAUGACCAUCAUUCAUCAACAUCCAUGAGCAUCACUCAUGUCAAUCAACAUAAACAUUCAUGAGCAUCACUUAUGUCAAUCAGCUUCAAAAGCUUCCUUUACAGAGCUCUAUCUUCAAAAGCUUCAUUUACAGAGUUUUAGCUUCAAAAGCUUCAUUUACAGAGCUCUAGCUUCAAAGCUUCACUUGCAAAGCUUUCACCUACAAAGCUUCAGUGCAGGGUAUACAAAUACCGCAUCCGAACAAUCGCCACUUCGGCAUAUACAUGGAUUCUAUUUGAAGUCUCUAGCCAACAGACUUUAUUGACCGAAGACUUGGGGGACUACAUUAUGUACCAUAUAUUGGGCCUCAACUGGGCCUCAUGAAAAAUACUUGGGGGACUUAGCCCAUUAUUUAUGUACUGAGGAACGAGCCCUUAUUCUAUAAAAAGGACUCCCUCAAUUUCAUUAGAGAGCACCUAUUAUUCAUGUACUGAGGAGUGAGCCUUUAUUUUAUAAAAGAGACUCCUUCACCUUCAUUAGAGAGCAUCACCACCAGCUAAGCAACCGCCUCGCCGCGAGCAUCACUCCUAACUCAUCACUUAUGUAUUGAGGAGCGAACCCUUAUUCUAUAAAAUGGACUCCCUCACCAUCAUUAGAGAGCAUCGUCGCCAGCUGAGCAACUGCCUCGCCGCGAGCAUCAACUCUAGCCCAUCAUUUAUGUUUUGAGGAGCAAGCCCUUAUUCUAUAAAAGGGACUCCCUCACCUUCAACGCCAUAAGCCGAGCCAACCAAGGCAACAUAAGCCACAAGCCGAGCAGCCUCGCAACAUGUGCUACUUCUAGUUGAGCAUCAUUUCAGAUUAAGCACCGCCUCAUAUCGAGUAUCAGUCCUAGAUGACGUCCAGUUACUUCGCCCACACAUGGACUGAGUUUUAAGUCUCCAGCCAAAAGACUCUAUUGACUGAAUACUUGGGGGACUACUGUUUAUACCAUACUUAGGGCCUCCGUAUUUAGAUCUCGUAUAAAUACUAGGGGGACUCAAAUGUAAUUAUGUAAUAAAUGAAGGGGCAAAUAUGUAAUAAGUGAGGAGCCCUUAUUCUAUAAAAGGACCCCUCACUCUCCUCAUGAAGGGAGGCCAAAUCUUAGGCCAUACCCUCACCAUCUCAGAGCUCUCAUCCUCACAAAAAAGCUCUCUCUCUCCCUCUUCAACAUCUCGGAGAAAUACAAUAAUCAGUGUGGACGUAGCCCAAACAUUGUGGUGAACCAUGAUACAUCUUGUGUUAUUUACAUUUCUUGCAGAUUCAUGGUCGAAUUUACGUUGUCCCAAGACCUUCGGUUUUGUGCAUCAACAUAUUUGAUGGAUGAAAUAGAAACCUUGAUUAUCAUGUGGGUUGUUAUGUAGCUUGAAUUGAAUAAUUCAUGCUUGUCAAGUCCAACUGUUUGAUUGAGGAAUGUUAUGCCUUUUGGCUUGAGUGAAUAGUGUUAUAUGUCGAGUUAUAAAGACGUUGAACUACGAAUGGCUUGAUCCCUAUUGAGGGUACAUAGGCAAUCUAACGAAGAGGUUAGAUGCAGCCAUAAUGUAUACGCAAAAUUAUUAUGCAUCUAGAUCUUGAAUUAUAUUUUGUACAUAUCCAAAAAGGCGGGAUACGUUGAGUUACGAGCAUUUAGUGACGUCACGUGUCGAUCUGAGAUGUAUGUCGGGAUUGGGGCGUGACAAUUUAUCCCAGCCAUCUUUUUCCAGAUUCUGACGGUUGUAGCGGCAACCAGCUGAGAAGAAGAAAAAAAAGAAAAAAAAGGAAAAAAAAAAAAAGGAAGCCUAGAUCCGCGACCCGGAUCUAGCCCAACCUGAUUCUAAAAUGCAUAUGGAAUAUUCUUAGUGUUGACCUUUAAGAAAUUUUCUCGGAAAUCCUCCUAGGCUAAUUUCGACGUCUAGAGUCCAUUUUUGACUUCCAUUUAGGAAAAUUUUGAAGUUUUAACAUAGUUGACCACCGGGCCGUCUUUGUUGACUUUUUAAGUUUGAUCGUUCACUUUUCGUUGACUUUUUACAAAAUUUGCCUGGGACCCCUCUUAGCGUAUUUCGACGCUCUGAUUACUAUCGGAGACUCAGACUUUCUUAGCUUGAAAUGAUGUGACAUCGCAAGUACCUAUGAGUGGGUCUUUUCUUUUAUAUAGUACAUAUAUAUAUAUAUUUGUUAGUUUCCAUUUAUAUAUUUGGUAAAGAAUUUUCUACGUUACGCCUAGAUUAGGGUAACGUAUAUAAAAAUUAACGUAUUGAAGGAAUUCAUGCAAAUAUACUACGUCCUACGAGAUACACAUGUAUGCGUAUUAGUAUGGAUGCUUUAAUGGUAUUUACGGUUUUGAAUAGUAUUCCAUUGACUAGGGUUAUUGAAUUAUCGAUUUACCAUUGCAUGAUCAUAUUUGUGUUAUCUGCUCAUCGUGUGUUGCACUGGUGUUAGUACUUGCCUAGGCUAGGGCCAGUCUUUCACAUGUAUGUUCAAUUCGCACUGUACGCUCACUUUGGAUCCAUUGUAGGUGCCAGUCCUGUCCUCGAUUGCAAUAGGCAAUUAGGACUCGUAUGUGACGUGCUUAGCACCCGUUUUCAUGUGAUUGUAGUACUAGAGCGUAAAUCAUUAUUACACCCAGUCCUAUUCAUGUCAGAAUACCUUUGCAUGAACUCGUGUGUCAACAUAUGUCGAUGAGCACUCGAUGUGAUAUGUUUAUUUCUGCAAGAUAUUGUGAUUACUAGAAGUUAUGUACCUAUUUACGAAUUUUGUGACGUAUUGAAUUCUUGAGAUAUUGCAAACUACUGUAAGUAUUUUCAUACUAUACGUAGUAUGUAUAUUUUGGAAACUAUACUUGCUUUACGGUGAGGGGUUAUAAUGUUUUCAAAAAGCUUUUUAUAAAACUUUAUUUUUAAGCCCACUCAUCCUUGUUUUUCGUCCCUCCAGGAUUUAGUGGCAAUGUUCGUGUCGACGAGGAUUUCUGGCAAACGUUGAUAUCGGAGACUACUUCCGAUGGUAUAAUUCUCAAUCUACUAUACUGUACUUUACUUAUGCUCUUAUAUCACGUGUGAAAUGAGUUCAUUCACGCUCACUAGCGCACUCUUAUACUUAGGCACUUCUAGAUUUAAAUUUACUCACAUUUUUCACAUCACUACUCAUUAAUGAAAUCUUUAUUUUCCUAAAAGAUUAUUGCCUCAUAUGAGAAAGUCCCUAUAAUAUAAACCCUAAAUUUGAAGUUUACAUAAUUUUAUGUGAUAAUUUCAUUGGAAGCUAAUUCUUUUAGUUAAUUUAACUUGAUUUUAUUGUAAAAUAUUUUUUGUGUAAUAUUAUUACCCAAAAAGGUUCAAAAUUCUCAAAGCCAAAUUUUAUUCCAAUGGAGUUUUAAUGAAAAGUCCGCGGUACUGUUCACUUUAACGAAAAACCACAUUUUUACACUAAAAAUUCAAACUUAGUACUAUUCAUUUUACCUUUUAUUUUGUCCUUAUCAUUAAAACUCAAAGUUUUCGAGCCAUUUUCAUUAGUUUUCCUUUUAUUUGGGAGUUUUAACGAAAAGUCCGCGGACCCGGCUUUGCAACCCGGACCCAGCUUCUCUGCUCUCCCAGUUUCCAUACACUCUCAUCCCCUCCUAUUUUGUGCGAUCACGAUUAAGCACGUUAACAUUUUAUAUUGAUUUUUUUAUAGACAUAAUAAGACAAAAAACGAUAGUGAUAUAAAAUAUUGACGUGACUUAACAUUUGACAAAAAUUGAAGAUAAUUUUGUUUUUUUGACUAAAUGAUCAAAAUAAUUGGUGGCGAAUAAAAUCAGAAAUCUCACUUUGAAGAAACGAAACUUCCGACGUGGUGGGCUGCGACUUUUGACUGAUUGAGAGUCCUCCAUCCGCAGCUCCUCCGUCUUCCUCCCAAGCCUUUUACCUUUUCUUUCUUUCUUCUCCAAAACUAGCAAUCUGAGAUUUGAACCUCUCUCUCUAAGAAGCAGCGGCAUGCUUUUCCAAACGUAAUCUGCAAUUUAAUCAAACAGCCACCGAAUUUUCUGGAAUCCUGUCAACGCAGAGAUGCUUCGGAUUUUGAUCGGUCAACGCCAGCUGCUUACCUGAGCUCCAAAAGAUCCAACAGUGAUGACGUCCUCCACCUCUGUUUCUGUUUGGCUGAUUCUGCUGUUUGGCUUCUUUCACCUCUACAAGCUUGCUGCCAAUGUCGUCUCUGUGUGUUAUUGAAUUUGGGAGUGUUUGGUUGUGGGAACCGGAAUGAACUAAUGAAUGAAUGAAUGAAUGACUGAAUGACUGGAAACAUUCCCGAAGAGCUUGGGGGUUUGUCAGACUUGGUGAGCUCGGAUCUUUACUUGGCAACCUUGCAAAACUGCGUUUCCUAUAUGAACCCGCAUCCUUUUGUUAGAUAAAAUCUAUCGUCUUUCUUUUUUAUUCGAUAUGCUAAUCUGCUGUUUUUAAUUGUUCCAUUGGAGUGACUUUCUUCCUUAAAGUCCUUGUGCCGGAUGCAUAUAAUUUAUAGUAUGAUCCCUGGUUUCAAGAUUCACAAGAAGGGAACAUCCAGUCAUUGCAAGUCCUGUGAAUUUCAUACACUUUCAUCUCAGUAAGAGGGAGGAGAGAGUGAAAAGUUACUAAUUUCUCUACCAUCGGAGAAUGCAAAUAACAUAUAGUUUUGCCAUGGAAUGCAGGGAUCUUUCAAAUAACAAUCUGACAGGGAAUAUUCCAGUUAAUGGAUUCUUUUCACUUUUUACUCCCAUCAGGUUUGUUGAAGCAACUUUACUCUUUUUCUUUAACUUUAGGGACAAAAAUAACAAUCUGACAGGGGAUACACUUUCAUCUCAGUAAGAGGGAGGAGAGGGUAAUAUAGCUUGAUCAAGUUGGUGUUGUAGUUGUUGUAUGGGAUGCAGCUCAAAAACUUUUCUUUGCGCGACCUACAAGUUGCAACGGAUACCUAUAGCGACAAAAAUAUUAUUGGUAGAGGUGGAUUUGGUAAGGUUUAUAGAGGACGCUUAGCUGAUGGAACUCUGGUUGCUGUAAAAAGACUUACACAGGAGAGAACCCAAGACGGGGAACUACAGUUCCAAACAGAAGUUGAAAUGAUUAGAAUGGCUGUCCACCACCGCAAUCUGCUUUGUCUGCAUGGUUUUUGCAUGACACCAACAGAAAGGCUGCUUGUAUAUCCUUAUAUGGCUAAUGGAAGUGUGGCAUCUUGUUUAAGAGGUACUCAUCUAAAUUGUUUGCUGCGUUGAUGAAUCUUUUUGUUUUCACGACGUUAAAUUUUUUUUCGAUCACAUUGAUAUAAUGAAUUUAAAAACCUGACCAAUUUGGCUUGGAGUAUCAGCACUAAUUUUUUUAAUGUUUUUUUUCCUUCAAUUUUAAGUUACCUUCUCGAUGCUGAUUUUAUUUCUGUUUAAUUUGAAAAGGAUGACAAGAAGACCCUUUUUUUGGGUAGGACGGGUGGUAUGAUAUGUGUUAGACCACAUUACCUAUUGCUUGUAAUUUGAAAUUCUCCUCUCAUAAGUAUGUGGAUAUAUUAUUGUAGGUCGUCCGGAAGGACAACCUGCACUUGAUUGGCCAAUAAGACAACGCAUUGCAUUGGGAUCUGCAAGAGGCCUUGCUUAUUUACAUGAUCACUGUGAUCCAAAAAUUAUUCACCGUGAUGUGAAAGCAGCAAACAUAUUGUUGGAUGAGGAAUUCGAAGCAGUUGUUGGAGACUUUGGGUUGGCUAAACUCAUGGACUACAAGGAUACAUAUGUUACCACACAUGUAUGUAGCACAUUUGGUCAUAUGGCACCGGAGCACUUUUCAACUGGAGUGUCUUCCGAGAAAACUGAUGUUUUUGGAUACGGAGUCAUGCUUCUUGAACUCAUCACUGGGCAGAGGGCUUUCAAUCCUCAGCUUGCGAGUGAUGAUGAUGUCAUGUUAGUUGAUUGGGUAUGCAUUUACGUCUUUCUGUUUGUGUAUGUAGCUAGUUUAUUGUUAUAUGAUUAUUUCCCAACAACAUUUGCAUUUCCUUAGUAAUUAGCUUUUAGAAAAUAAGUUUGGUUUAAUUAGCUUUUAUUAGUUAGAGUUAUGAUUAGCUGUGUAGAUUUUUUUAUCUUUAUUUAUAACAAUCCAAGGUUUAAACUGUCAGAGAUUAAUUAUUGCAUUUCCUUAGUAAUUGUUACUAUUGUUGUUGCUUCUUUUGCCAAUGUAUUGGCAUUUUGUGAUUUCUUGAAGAAUUUGGCAUAUGUUUUGUGUCGAUCCUAAUUUCCUCAUCAUCUCCUUAUUCUUGCUAUCUUGGCCUCUCGCUUUUUCCUAUUCUCUCUAUUGCAUCUUUGUCUUCUCUUUGCAUGAUAUCAAUAUUUGAAUGACGAUACAUUUUUGUAAGCAGUUUGAUUUUCUGUAGAAAAAAGUUUGAACAUUACAACACAUUUUUGUUCUCCUAGAUUCCCGCACCUUUUGUUUCAAAUUGUCGAACCACCCGACAAUUUCUGUUUUAUUUUUCCUAAAAAAAUUAGGUCAAAUGACUACUGAAAGAUCGGAGGUUGGAAAGACUUGUUGAUGCUGAUCUAAAUGGAAAUUAUAUUGACGAUCAAGUGGAGCAGCUGAUCCAAGUAGCUCUACUGUGCACACAAGGCUCCCCAGGGGAACGGCCCAAGAUGUCAGAGGUUGUCCAAAUGCUUGAAGGCGAAGGCGAAGGUUUGGCUGAAAGAUGGGAGGAGUGGCAAAACAAGGAGAUGAUCCGCCAAGAUUUCAACACUAUUCAUCAUCCAAGUACUUGGAUCAUAGACUCACCUUCUCCUAAUUUUGUGUUGUACUAUUUCUGUGAGUUUGAAGAAAUGGAUAAAAAGAAAGGAAAACCAAUGAAAAAGGCUUGAAAACUUUGAGUUUUAAUGAUAAGGACAAAAUAAAGGGUAAAGUGAAUAGUACCAGGAUUGACUUUUUAGUGUAAAAAUGUGGUUUUUCAUUAAAGUGAACAGUACCGGAUGCUUUUCGUUAAAGUUCCCUAAAAAGAAUGACAUGUGAUAGAGAGUUCAUCAUAUAGCUUCUGACUUUAAGGAUUUUUCAUUUAGUUCUAGUUCAUGUUGCGCAAAAAAUAUUAGGUAACACUGCUACUGGGGCUAUUGCAGGAGGGGUUGCUGUUGGUGCUGCUUUACCGUUUGCUGCACCUGCAAUUACACUUGCUUAUUGGCGACGGAGAAAACCACAGGAUCAUUUCUUUGAUGUACCUGGUUAGUGAACUAUAGGAGUAAUAUAGCUUGAUAAAGGUGGUGUUGUAGUAUGGGAUGGAGGUUUCACUAAUCUACUGUCUUUGCAGCUGAGGAGGAUCCAGAAGUUCUUUUAGGACAGCUCAAAAGGUUUUCUUUGCGCGAACUACAAGUUGCAACGGAUACCUUUAGUAACAAAAAUAUUCUUGGUAGAGGUGGAUUUGGUAAGGUUUAUAAAGGACGCUUAGCUGAUGGAACUCUGGUUGCUGUAAAAAGACUUAAAGAGGAGAGAACCCAACGUGGGGAGCUACAGUUUCAAACAGAGGUUGAAAUGAUUAGCAUGGCUGUCCACCGCAAUCUGCUUCGUCUGCGUGGUUUUUGCAUUACACGAACAGAAAGGCUGCUUGUAUAUCCUUAUAUGGCUAAUGGAAGUUUGGCAUCAUGUUUACGAGGUACUCUUCUAAAUUGUUUGCUGCGUUGAUAAAUCUUCUUGUUUUCACGAAAUUAAAAAAUGGGUAAAUUACAUUUUACACCCUCAGGUUUGAGUGUAAUUGUAACCUCAUACAAUAUUUUUAAAACAUUUCAAUUUUAUACAUUUCCUUAUCAUUUCUAGCAAUUUCAUACAUCUGUUAGUCAAACCGUGAGUUUGACUGUUAAGGAAUGACAUGGCAAAUGUGAGGUCCACAUUUUUAUUGACGGGGAUGCCAACUAUGAUUCACGUGGAAUAAAAACAAAUAAAAAAGAUUAAUAAAUAGAAAAUUAAAUUUUUUUAUAAUUAAAAACUAAAAAAAUAGAAAAGAUAAAAAAAAUGGUGUUGUUCAUCCCUUUCCUGCUCUCACCCCGUCCCCGCAUUCUUCAUUUCCCCCCGCCCACCAUCGCCACCUUCCCUUUCCUCAGCCACUGCAAUGAAUAGACCACAUUACCUGUUGCUUGUAAUUUGAAAUUCUCCUCUCAUAAGUAUGUGGAUAUAUUAUUGUAGAUCGUCCAGAAGGACAACCUGCACUUGAUUGGCGAAUAAGACAACGCAUUGCAUUGGAAUCUGCAAGAGGCCUUGCUUAUUUACAUGAUCACUGUGAUCCAAAAAUUAUUCACCGUGAUGUGAAAGCAGCAAACAUAUUGUUGGAUGAGGAAUUCAAAGCAGUUGUUGGAGACUUUGGGUUGGCUAUACUCAUGGACUACAGGGAUACACAUGUUACCACAGCUGUACGUGGCACAAUUGGUCAUAUAGCACCAGAGUACCUUUCAACUGGAAAAUGUUCCGAGAAAACUGAUGCUUUUGCAUACGGAGUCAUGCUUCUUGAACUCAUCACUGGGCAGAGGGCUUUUGAUCUUGCUCGGCUUGCGAAUGAUUAUGAUGUCAUGUUACUUGAUUGGGUAUGCUUUUACGUCUUUCUGUUUCUGUUUGUUGCUAAUUUAUUGUUAUAUGCAAGAUUAUUUUCCAACAAUAUUUGAAUGAGGUCCACCUUUGAGAGUUUUAACGAAAAGUCCACGGUACUGUUCACUUUAACGAAAAAUCAUAUUUUUACAUUAAAAAGUUAAUCCUGAUACUAUUCACUUUACUCUUUAUUUUGUCUUUAUCGUUAAAACUCAAAGUUUUGAAGCCUUUUUCAUUAGUUUUCCUUAAUAUCUUUCAUAUUUUAUAAAAUAAAAAAAAAGACAUAAUGUUGUUGAAAUUCAACGAUAUUCUUGCUUCGAUCUAUUGUUUCCCUAAGUCCAAAUCUUGGAAAUUAUGUUUCAAUACUCAUUUUAAAGAAAUGUUAUAUAAUAUACUGUAAAUUAGGUGUAUCUCUCGAUACCAAUGUUGCUAUUUAUUUAAGCCAAAAAUAAUGGGUCUCGACACCUAAUCACUUUAUUUCAAACCGCUAAUCUCAUAUGACAUUCUUAAUCAUUGUAUAUGGAACAUUUCUGCAAUCAUUUUAGUUGGUUCUUUGCAAUACUUUAAAAACCUAUUACUCAUCAUAGAGCUGCCAAGUUCCUGUCUAAUUAAUGUAAAAAUCACUUAGUCUUUUUUGGCCCGAAUAUUGAAAACAAUUAGAAUCAUGGAUCAAAGAAAAGAAAUAAUACUUAACUUUUAGAAAAUAACUUUAGUUUAAUUAGCUUUUAUUAGUUAGACUUACGAUUAAGCUGUGAAGAUUUAUUUAUCUUUAUUUACAACAAUCUAAGAUUUAAAUUGUCAGAGAUUAAUUAUUACAUUUCCUUGGUAAUUGUUGUUAGUAUUGUUGUUGCUUCUUUUGCCAAUGUAUUGGCCUUGCUGUGAUUUCUUGAAGAAUUUGGCAUGUGUUUUGUAUCGAUCCUAAUUUCCUCAUUAUCUCUUUAUUCUCGCUAUCUUGGCUCUUUCUUCUUUUUAUUCUCUGUUUGCAUCUUUGUCAUAUGUUCGCAUCACAUCAAUAUUUGAAUGACGAUGCAUUUUUGUAAGCAAUUUGAUUUUCUGGAGAUACUGCGGCCCUUCAAAUUUUGAACAUUACAACACAUUUUCACUCUCCUAGGUGCCCUCACCUUUUGUUUCAAAUUGUAGAACUAUCUGAUUUUGUUCCUUUUUAUUUUAACUAAAAUAAUUAGGUCAAAGGACUACUGAAAGAUCGGAGGUUGGAAACACUUGUUGAUGCUGAUCUAAAUGGAAAUUAUGUUUACGAUCAAGUGGAGCAGCUCAUCCAAGUAGCUCUACUAUGCACACAAGGCACCCCAGGGGAACGACCCAAGAUGUUAGAGGUUGUCUGGAUGAUGGAAGGGCGAUGGUUUGGCUGGGAGGAGUGGCAAAAAGAGGAGGUGUUCCACCAAGAUUUCAACCCUAUUCAUCAUCCAAGUACUAAUUGGAUCACAGACUCAACUUCUCAUAUUCCUCUGGAUGAGUUGUCUGGUCCCAGAUGAUAUGCUCGUUGGUUCUGUCCCCUGUAUACAUGUAAGAAGCCUCAGAGGACUGUAGAAGGUCCAUUUUGUAUUUCAGUGAUACAACAUUUGUGCAUAUGUUUUGUCUUUGUUUUCGAUUUUGUUUUUGUCUCUCGUAUUUUUUAGAUCACAAAAAUGGAGCUGGUGCUGUUGUAAUUUUUAUAGGGUUAACUGGCAUUACGAAGUUAUAUGGUGCUAGCAGGAAUUAGGAAGGGCCAUAAAAGCACCCAUUCCUGAUGAUUUAUGUAUCUAUCCAGAAAUUAGUUCAGAUUGUCGAGUAAAUAAUCAUUCUGAAGUUAUAACUAUAUAUAUUUUUUAGUGUUCCAAUAGAUCCUAUAGAUACGAUAAGGACACUAGGUCAAGUGCGUUCCUAUAGAUCCUUUAGAUACGAUAAGGACACUAGGUCAAGUGCACGGCUGCUUGUGGACGGAUAGUGUUUGAAAUUUCAUCGUGAUCAUUGCAAGUGUGACUUUGUGGCACUACCCUUAUAAGUACUUGAACUAAGGCAUUAGGGAUCAAGAGAUCACUUUGUGUCAUUCCAAAACAGGAAUUUGAGCUCUGUCUAUCCUCUUUAAAGUAUCGUCAAUGGGGAUCCCUCUACUAUCUUUGAGGAUUUAUUUAAGACCAACUGUAGGGUAAGACCCAAACCUAAAUUUCUAAGUUUAAACAAAAUAAAAAUGCAAUCUAAUUGUGGGAUUUUUUUGUUUUUUUUGAACAAAAUAUAUUAUCUAGAUUAGGUUAAGCUUUACAGUGGGCUAGUAAUAAUAUGGUUCAAAUUUGUCUUUGGCGAAAAUCGAACCUAAAGACCUCUAUUAUAUGUGAAGAGAAAUAUCAGUAAACUGUAGUACUAGAUAGUAUCUAAUGGUUGGACUUAAAGCUAAAAAGUUUGGCUUUUACCCAAGCUAAACCCAAAUUUGGGUUUUGUAUUUGGCAGACCCAAAUUUUUGGGGGCCCUACCUUUUUUUUUCUGAAAAGCAACGGGCGAAUGAUGUAUUGAAGUGGCCGACAGAUGGGUCCCUCACCUAGCAGAGUCCCAGCUGCAAAACAGUAACAGUUUAAGCAACUACGAGCCAUUCGAUUUGUGGGCCAUUGGUGAUCAACGGUCUAGGUUAAAAUCCUUUCAUGCUUUGCAAUCUUUAAAUUUUGAUCUAAUUGUUCAUAUAUAUAUUUUUUCAAAUCUAACGGUAAAAUAAAUCCAACUACUGAAAUUUAAAUUCAACGUCAAAAAUUAUUUUAUUUAGAACAUAUCCAUUAUACAUUUGGAUGGUUGGUGUGGUUUGUUCGGUUUUGAAUUUUUUGUUGAAAUUUAAUUUUUUUAAUGUCAAAACACUUGUCAAAUUAAAUUAAAAUAAUAUAAUUCAAAAGUAAAAAAUUUAAAAAAAAAUCCUACCGAAAAAAAAUUAGGGUUAAAACUAUAUUCCACCACAAUUAGUACAUUUUAGGCCAUGAAAUUUAGAUCUUGAUGGUUGGGUGAUAUUCACUUCAUAGACUUAAAUUCUGUCUUUUGAUGGACUAAAUAUUUGGGUUUGGGUGUAAAGGUUGGAGCUGGUCUAAGGACUUUAAUGAAAUCUUAUAUUUCUAAACGAGUUGCCUCAUAUGAGAAAGUCCUUAUAGUAUAAAUCUUAAAUUUGAAGUUUACAUAAUUUUAUGUGAUACUUUCAUUGGAAGCUAAUUCUUUUAGUUAAUUUAACUUGAUUUUAUUGUAAAAUAUUUUUUUGUGAACAUUAUUACCCAAAAAAGUUCAAAAUUCUCGAAGCCAAAUUUUAUUCUUUAGAACUACAAUAGCUUUCAUUAUUGGCUAUGUCAUGGUCUAUUAUUUCUGAUCAGAAUCAGACCUGGACUCUUUGCAACGCUUGGUCAACUAAAUGAAUUAUUAAUUAAAAGUAGCUUGAUAAUCAUUUUGUUUUCAAUUUUUAAUUUUUAGCUUAUACUUUUCUAUUAUGAAAUUAAUCAAAAUGGUUCAUGAAAUUGGCAUAAUUAAUCAUUUCGGUUCCUGAGAUUUGAAAUUGCUAGAAGUGAUCCCUGAGUUUGUUAACUAUCAAUUAUUUUGAUCAUUCGAUUAAAAAUCUCUAUUGAAUAAGAAGCAUGUUUAUACCAUAUUUAGGGCCUCGUAUUUAGACCUCGUAUAAAUACUCGGGGGACUUAAAUGUAAUUAUGUGAUAAAGGAAGGGGCAAAUAUGUAAUAAGUGAGGAGUCCUUAUUCUAUAAAAGGACCCCUCACCCUCACAAUUAGAAAAAGGCCUCACUCUCACUCUCGAAAAAGCCAAAUUCUUAGGCCCUCUCACCCUCUCUCAACGCUCUCACUCUCAGAGCUCUCUCUCCUUCAAAUAAAUACAAUCAGUGUGGACGUAGCACAAACCUUGGGGUGAACCACGAUACAUCUUGUGUUAUUUACAUUUCAUGCAGAUUCACGGUCGGAUUUACGUUGUUCCAAGACCUCCGGUUUUGUGCAUCAACAUUUGGCGCCGUCUGUGGGAAACGACACGAAAAGUUAUGUCGGUUCUCUCUCAAUUUUUCAUCUCCGCCGUGAAUCUGCAGAAAUCCAAGAACCCAAAAACCUCACUUUUUGGGUUUCUCCAGAAAACUUUCGCAGACCUCCAACCACCUCUGCCUCCUCUCUCAGUCAGUCAACACGGAAACCAAAGAUUUCAGCUGCAAAUUCACCUGCUUUUGCAGCCCAUCCACGCCACCAUGUCCUCAUAUUUCCACCGAGUUCCAAAGUGCUCACCAGAAAAAAUGAUGGCUUCCAUGUCUUUCUCUACAACUUUUUCAACACCUUUACAGAUUUUUCUCAAGCAAAAACAAAAAUAAGCACGAAUUCUUUAGCUUUAUGCCCUCCCAUGGCGUGUUGGAUCAAAUCCUCACUUGGGUCUCCUAAUCGGCAUUUUUUCGAAAUGGGUGGUCUUUCCAAUCGGAGAAUUUUAAUGGGUUUCUGAUCAAAUCUUGGUCUUUGGUUGUCUAUGCUAAAGCAGCUACAACAACAUCUCUAUAUAUCUCUCAUGUCCCUCAUCUCUAUCUUGUCCCUCAUCGCUCAGCCUGACACAUCAAUCAACACACCCAACUGAAAGAGGGAUAGUUUCGUGAUUACCCUGAUUCCGCCAUGGGCAUUCCCUGCGACGACAUCGUCGUUAUCAAGCCGAGGAAGGCUCCUGAUGAGCCAUCCGUCCUCACCGUCAACUGUCCCAACAAGGCCGGCCUUAGCUGCGAUUAGGAGAGGUUAAAGGAUCAGCUCUCGUCCGCGUGCCCGUCGUCGUGCUUCUUCUCAUUUUAUCUCAAUCAAAUCUCCAACGUCCCAACGCCUUCUUCGGUCUAUCUGUUGAAGUUUUGGUGCCACGACCAGAGAGGCUCACUCCACGAUGUUUGAGCCAUUGUGCGAUUUGGGCAAGAAUUUAUGGGAUCUCGCGGUGGCCCAGAUGGUUUAUGAUGAUGUUGUUGGGGUUGGAGUGGUCGAGGAGAUCAAAAAUCAAUGGCUUUUCUCAGUUUUCAGCAUCUGUCAAUUUGGCGGAGGAACGAAAGAUGCCAAAAUUAACUGCUGAGAGUACCUGGGAUUUUGAGAUGUGAUUCAUUAUUGUAUCUGAUAAACAACUUAGAAUUGUCUCUGCCACGUGUUCCACACCGAGUGCAUUGACAGGGGGCUGGAGUAUAAUGAUCAUCAUCAUCACCAUCACGACGAGGACAAUCACAAAACUUGCCCGCUCUGCAGGACUCCAUUAUUGAUGUCAUUGUAGAAGCGGAGCCUGAGUUGGGACCUUGCAGGCUUAAAAGGGACGGUCAAAUAAGAGGCUUAUUUCACUGAACAAAGUUAAACAGCAUGAAAAAGGAGAUUCAAUGUGCGGAGAUCCAGUAUGGAACUGGUGCAAUUUCAGGUUUCUUCCACCAGGACCAUGUCCAAGUCGGUGAUCUUGUUGUUAAGGAUCAGGACUUUAUUGAGGCAACCAAAGAGCCUGGAGUCACGUUUGUGGCAGCUAAGUUUGAUGGUAUUCUUGGACUUGGAUUUCAACAUAUCUCAGUUGGAGAUGCUGUUCCUGUCUGGUAUAAUUUGGUCAAUCAAGGUCUUGUUAAAUAACCAGUUUUCUCAUUUUGGUUAAAUCGCAAUACAGAAGGGGAAGAAUGGGGUGAGAUUGUCUUUGGUGGGGUUGAUUCUAGUCAUUUCAAGGGUGAGCAUACAUAUGUUCCCGUGACUCAGAAAGGCUACUGGCAGUUUGAUAUGGGUGAUGUCUUAAUUGAUGGUGAAUCAUCUGGAUUUUGUGCUAAUGGCUAUUCAGCAAUUGCUGACUCAUGCACCUCCCUAUUGGCUGGACCAACGGAAGUAUGGAGAGGUGGUGGAGGCUGUGAUCAUGAGGGAUCGUGCAAAAGGGGAGAUAAGAUUAAUGUACUUAUCAUUCCUUGUCUGCCAUCUACAAAAGAGAAAAGAAGACAGAAACAAAAGCAAAAGUAAAGCAGAAAAGGAAAAGAGAAAAGAAGAAGAGAGGAACAUGGAGACAUUUCAAAAGCAAGGAAUAAACACCCCACCAGAAUGAUGUAUUUUUUUUAUCUUUCGGAAAUAUCUGUAUAAACCCCAUCAGAGGGUAACUAAAAAAAAAUAGCAAAGCCCAAAACAAAUGGGCUGCCAUGUUGUGGAGGGCGAAGGCUCAUAAGCCCGAAAUAGCACCAACCAGGUGAUCAAAAGUACGCCUAGUACUCCACAAUUAUUCGGCAACCCACCGCUAUUACCACCAACCAGGUGAUCAAAAGUACGCCCAGUACUCCAAAAUUAUUCGGCAACCUGCCGCUAUUACCACCAACCAGGUGAUCAAAAGUAUGCCCAGUACUCUAAAAUUAUUCGGUAACCCGCCGCUAUUACCACCAACCAGGUGAUGAAGUGUACAACCCGUACUCUAAAUAUCAUUUGGCAACUAGCCAUUCAUGCCACCAACCAGGUGAUGAAAUGUAAACCCGUACUCUAAUAUCAUUUGGCAACUAGCCAUUCAUGCCACCAACCAGGUGAUGAAAUGUACAACCCGUACUCUCCUUCAUGCCACCAACUAGGUAAACAAAAGUACGCCCAAUACUUCAAAUUAUACAUGAGCAUUACUCAUGUCAAUCAUACAUAAACAUUCAUGAGCAUCACUCAUAUCAAUCAUACAUAAACAUUCAUGAGCAUCACUCAUGUCAACAUUCAUAAGCAUCACUCAUGUCAACAUCCAUGAGCAUCACUCAUGUCAAUCAAACAUUCAUGAGCAUCACUCAUGUCAAUUAAACACUCAUGAGCAUCACUCAUGUCAAUCAGCUUCAAAAGCUUCAUUUACAAAAGCUCUAGCUUCAAAAGCUUCAUUUACAGAGCUCCAGCUUCAAAGCUUCACUUGCAAAGCUUCAUUUACAAAGCUUCAGUGCAGGAUAUACAAAUACCACCUCCGAACAACCGCCACUUCGGCCCAUACAUGGAUUCAAUUUGAAGUCUCUAGCUAACAGACUCUAUUGACUGAAGACUUGAGGGACUACACUAUACACCAUAUAUUGGGCCUCAACUAGGCCUCAUGAAAAAUACUUGGGGGACUCUAGCCCAUUAUUUAUGUAUUGAGGAGCGAGCCCUUAUUUUAUAAAAGGGAUUCCCUCACCAUCAUUAGAGCAGCAUCAACUAUAGCCCAUUAUUCAUGUAUUGAGGAGCGAGCCCUUAUUUUAUAAAAGGGACUCCUUCACCAUCAUUAGAGAGCAACGCCGCCAGCUGAGCAACCGUCUCGCCGCGAGCAUCAACUCUAGCCCAUCAUUUAUGUAUCGAGGGAACGAGCCCUUAUUCUAUAAAAGGGACUCCUCACCAUCAUUAGAGAGCAUCAACUCUAGCCUAUCAUUCAUGUAUUAAGGAGCGAGCCCUUAUUCUAUAAAAGGGACUCCCUUAUCUUCAAACGCCGCAAGCCGAGCCAACCAAGGCGCCAUAAGCCACGAGCUGAGCAGCAUCGCAGCAUGUGCUACUUCUAAUUGAGCGUCAUUUCAGAUUGAGCACCGCCUCAUAUCAAACAUCAGUUCAAGAUAACAUCUAGUUACUUCGGCCCACACAUGGACUGAAUUUCAAGUCUCCAGCCAAAAGACUCUCUUGACUGAAGACUUAGGGGACUACUGUUUAUACCAUAUUUAGGGCCUCGUAUUUAGACCUCGUAUAAAUACUCGGGGGACUUAAAUGUAAUUAUGUGAUAAAGGAAUGGACAAAUAUGUAAUAAGUGAGGAGUCCUUAUUCUAUAAAAGGACCCCUCACCCUCACAAUUAGAAAAAGGCCUCACUCUCACUCUCAAAAAAGCCAAAUUCUUAGGCCCUCUCACCCUCUCUCAACGCUCUCACUCUCAGAGCUCUCUCUCCUUCAAAUAAAUACAAUCAGUGUGGACGUAGCCCAAACCUUGGGGUGAACCACGAUACAUCUUGUGUUAUUUACAUUUCAUGCAGAUUCACGGUCGGAUUUACGUUGUUCCAAAACCUCCGGUUUUGUGCAUCAACAAAGCAAAUGACAAAAAUAACCUCAAUUCAAUAAAUAAUGGACCGUAAUAAUUUGACAAAAAUUGAAGAUAAUUUUUUUUUUUUUUUACGAAAUGAUCAUGUUGAAUAAAAUCAGAAAUCUCAAAACAAAGUGAGGAAUUGCAUAACAAUUUCAGAUAUCAGCUAAAAAGUAAAAAAUAAAUAUAAACAAAAGAAGAAACGAAACUUCCGACGCUGUGGGCUGCGACUUUGACUGAUUGAGAGUCCUCCAUCCGCAGCUCCUUCGUCUUCCUCCCAAACCUUUUACCUUUCUUCUUUCUUCUCCAAAACUAGCAAGCUGAGAUUUCAACCUCUCUCUCUCUAAGAAGCAGCGGCAUGCUUUUCCAAACUCAAUCUGCAAUUUAAUCAAACAGCCACCGAAUUUUCUCUAAUCCGGUCAACGCAGAGAUGCUUCGGAUUUUGAUCGGUCAACGCCAGCUGCUCACCUGAGCACCAACGGGCCCAACAGUGAUGACGUCCUCCGCCCCUGUUUCUGUUUGGCUGAUUCUGCUGUUUGGAACCUCCAUAAGCUCGCUGCCAACAUAGAAGGUAUGUCUGUGUCUCUGUGUUUUUGAAUUUGGGUGUGUUUGGUUGCGGGAAUUGGAAUGAACUAACGAAUGAAUGAAUGAAUGAUUGGAUUUGAC
rnacentral:lncRNA from 1 species